rnacentral:lncRNA from 1 species
AAAUAGAAAUUGGUGCCUUGUUAGUCAGGGAGAUUUUUACCACAAGCUCUAUCAGUAAGCAUUCAAAAAUUACAUGUAUUAAUGUAAUGUUGGGAACCUGGCCUUAUUCUCUUCUGACAAUCGAAGGGUCCUUUUUUUUUUUUCUUCCCUUUGUAAAUUAUACUGAUACAGUUGACAUUAAGUUAUCAGGGCUGAAUUGCUUUAUGCAUUUCUUACUUAUGGGAAAUUCCCAUUAAAUUAACAUUGAGAUUAAGUUUAAAUUAUCCGCGAUAGGGUUAAAUGGUUGACUAAGUCACUCACCUUUACUUCCUCACUGACAAGGCAUUUCCAUCUUUCCCAAAGUCAAAGACUGGACUGAAGCUAAAUUUGUACUUUUCAUAAUAUAUAUUCUGCUUCUGGCUUACCUUGUUGGUACAUCAGUAUAUUAAUUGUAAAAAUUAUUGUAUAGUAUUUAACCACCAAAUCUGUGUUCAUGUGAACCCCUUGGUGAAGGCCCCCUUUUCAUGGAUGUGUAGUUAUAUGAUCUUUAAAAUGUACAGAUAUUUUGCUAUAAGAUUGGUGCAGUUUUUUAUGGUUUUUACACUUCUCUUUAAUUCCUACCUAAGCCUUUAGGUACUACUGUAAAUAUUGUUUUAAAAUGCAUCAGCCUAUGCUACACAAUCUGAAUGUUACUUUAACUUAUAGUUUGUUUUCUGAAAUAUAUAUAUAUUUAACUACAAGGACAGUUUAAAAGUCAGUUACCACAUUUCACAGUAGUAUGCCUAUUUACAGAUCCCUUUUAAACUGCCACUUGCUGUCACACUCAUAAAUGUGUAGUUUAAAAAGAACAUGCCAAGAUUGUCGUCUUGUUGAGUCAAUAUCCAUCUUGGUGAGUAUAUUAAUUUGAUCAUGAUAUCAGAAAAAUAUGUGGACCUCCUUCACACAAAUCAGCUGCUUUCCAAAGGCGUGCAUUUGCUUAAAGCAAACUGCCCAUUUCCCAGUGUACAAAUGGACAAUAAUGUUGGCAUAUUCUUCUGUCUGUCUAGUAAUGGCCCUGCUUCUUAGCAAUAUUAGAAAUGUUUUAUAAAAGCAAUCCAUGUUACUUUUCUGGUCUUUUCAUGCCAUUUGAGCAAAUAAACUAUUUACACUACU